rnacentral:rRNA from 1 species
GACGAACGCUGGCGGCGUGCCUAAUACAUGCAAGUCGAACGCUGAAGGAGGAGCUUGCUUCUCUGGAUGAGUUGUGAACGGGUGAGUAACGCGUAGGUAACCUGCCUGGUAGCGGGGGAUAACUAUUGGAAACGAUAGCUAAUACCGCAUAAUAGCAGUUGUUGCAUGACAACUGUUUGAAAGGUGCAAUUGCACCACUACCAGAUGGACCUGCGUUGUAUUAGCUAGUUGGUGGGGUAACGGCUCACCAAGGCGACGAUACAUAGCCGACCUGAGAGGGUGAUCGGCCACACUGGGACUGAGACACGGCCCAGACGCCUACGGGAGGCAGCAGUAGGGAAUCUUCGGCAAUGGACGGAAGUCUGACCGAGCAACGCCGCGUGAGUGAAGAAGGUUUUCGGAUCGUAAAGCUCUGUUGUAAGAGAAGAACGAGUGUGAGAGUGGAAAGUUCACACUGUGACGGUAUCUUACCAGAAAGGGACGGCUAACUACGUG